UACCAGCACCCCGAGCGGUCGGGACGAUUAUUGGGCCUAAAGCAUCCGUAGCCGGUCCUGCAAGUCUUCCGUUAAAUCCAGCUGCUCAACAGAUGGGCUGCGGGAGAUACUACAGGGCUAGGAGGCGGGAGAGGCAAGCGGUACUUUAUGGGUAGGGGUAAAAUCCGCUGAUCCAUAGAAGACCACCAGUGGCGAAGGCGGCUUGCCAGAACGCGCUCGACGGUGAGGGAUGAAAGCUGGGGGAGCAAACCGG
rnacentral:rRNA from 1 species